rnacentral:rRNA from 1 species
UACAUGGGGUGCAAACGUUGCUCGGAAUCAUUGGGCGUAAAGCGCGCGUAGGCGGUUGCUUAAGUCGGAUGUGAAAGCCCUCGGCUUAACUGAGGAAGUGCAUCCGAAACUGAGCAGCUAGAGUACGAAAGAGGGUCGCGGAAUUCCCGGUGUAGAGGUGAAAUUCGUAGAUAUCGGGAGGAACACCGGUGGCGAAGGCGGCGACCUGGGUCGAGACUGACGCUGAGGCGCGGAAAAGCGUGGGGGAGCAAACAGG